UACGGAGGGUGCGAGCGUUGUCCGGAAUCACUGGGCGUAAAGGGCGCGUAGGUGGCGCGACAAGUCAACGGUGAAAGCUCGGCGCUCAACGCCGAGUCGGCCGUCGAUACUGUUGGGCUUGAGCACUGUAGAGGCUAAUGGAAUUCCGGGUGUAGCGGUGGAAUGCGUAGAGAUCCGGAAGAACACCGGUGGCGAAGGCGGCCCGCUGGGCAGAGACUGACGCUGAGGCGCGAACAGCGUGGGGAGCAAACAGG
rnacentral:rRNA from 1 species